rnacentral:rRNA from 1 species
UGACAGCUGUCGAAAGAUGGUUUUCUUCGGACACUCUUCAAGGUGCUGCAUGGUUGUCGUCAGCUCGUGCCGUGAGGUGUCGGGUUAAGUCCCAUAACGAGCGCAACCCUUACUGUUAGUUGCCAGCGGGUAAAGCCGGGGACUCUAGCGGGACUGCCACCGUAAGGUGAGAGGAAGGUGGGGAUGACGUCAAAUCAGCACGGCCCUUAUGUCCAGGGCUACACACGUGUUACAAUGGCCGGUACAGAGGGCAGCUACAUCGCGAGAUGAUGCUAAUCCCGAAAGCCGGUCUCAGUUCGGAUCGAAGUCUGCAACCCGACUUCGUGAAGUUGGAUUCGCUAGUAAUCGCGCAUCAGCCAUGGCGCGGUGAAUACGUUCCCGGGUCUU